AUUGAACGCUGGCGGCAGGCCUAACACAUGCAAGUAGAGCGGAGCGGCGGACGGGUGAGUAAUACCUAGGAAUCUGCCUGGUAGUGGGGGAUAACGUCCAGAAACGGGCGCUAAUACAACAUACUAUCCGAUGAGCCUAGGUCGGCAUAGCUAGGUGGUGGGGAAAAGGCCUACCAAGGCGACGAUACGUAACUGGGCUGAGAGGAUGAUCAGUCACACUGGAAUGGAGACACGGUCCAGAUUCCUACGGGAGUCAGCAGUGGGGAAGAUUGGACAAUGGGCGAAAGCCUGAUCCAGCCAUGCCGCGUGUGUGAAGAAGGUCUGCGGAUUGUAAAGCACUUUAAGUUGGGAGGCGUUACCAACAGAAUAAGCACCGGCUAACUUCGUGCCAGCAGCCGCGGUAAUUC
rnacentral:rRNA from 1 species